rnacentral:pre_miRNA from 1 species
GGCACAGGUCUGAAGUGGAGUAAAUUAGUAGGAUUGGCCAACCCUACUUGACUACACUACUUCAACCCUGUGCCG